rnacentral:rRNA from 1 species
UGGGCCCAGAUCGUUUACCGUGAAAAAAUUAGAGUGUUCAAAGCAGGCAGAUCCAAUUUUCUGCCACCGAAUACAUUAGCAUGGGAUAAUGGAAUAGGACCCUGUCCUCCUAUUUUCAGUUGGUUUUGGCAGCGCGAGGACUAGGGUAAUGAUUAAUAGGGAUAGUUGGGGGCAUUAAUAUUUAAUUGUCAGAGGUGAAAUUCUUGGAUUUAUGAAAGAUUAACUUCUGCGAAAGCAUCUGCCAAGGAUGUUUUCAUUAAUCAAGAACGAAAGUUAGGGGAUCGAAGACGAUCAGAUACCGUCGUAGUCUUAACCAUAAACGAUGCCGACCAGCGAUUAGGAGACGUUGAAUACAAAACACCACCAUCGGUGCGGUCGUCCUUGGCGUCGGUCUUUCGUGGCCGGCGCGGGACGGCUAGGCCGGRMCCYMG